rnacentral:rRNA from 1 species
CAUGGAGUUUGAUCCUGGCUCAGAUUGAACGCUGGCGGCAGGCCUAACACAUGCAAGUCGAGCGGUAGAGAAAAGCUUGCUUCUCUUGAGAGCGGCGGACGGGUGAGUAAUGCCUAGGAAUCUGCCUGGUAGUGGGGGAUAACGUUCGGAAACGGACGCUAAUACCGCAUACGUCCUACGGGAGAAAGUGGGGGAUCUUCGGACCUCACGCUAUCAGAUGAGCCUAGGUCGGAUUAGCUAGUUGGUGAGGUAAUGGCUCACCAAGGCGACGAUCCGUAACUGGUCUGAGAGGAUGAUCAGUCACACUGGAACUGAGACACGGGCCCAGACUCCGUACGGGGAGCAGCAGUGGGGAAUUUGGACAAUGGACGCAAGUCUGAUCCCAGCCAUUCCGCGUGCAGGAU